rnacentral:snRNA from 1 species
GUGCUCACUUCGGCAGCACAUAUACUAAAAUUGGAAUGAUACAGAGAAGAUUAGCAUGGCCCCUGUGCAAGGAUGACACGAAAAUUCGUGAAGCGUUUUUUUUUUUU